GUGGGGAAUCUUGCGCAAUGGGCGAAAGCCUGACGCAGCCAUGCCGCGUGAAUGAUGAAGGUCUUAGGAUUGUAAAAUUCUUUCACCGGGGACGAUAAUGACGGUACCCGGAGAAGAAGCCCCGGCUAACUUCGUGCCAGCAGCCGCGGUAAUACGAAGGGGGCUAGCGUUGCUCGGAUUUACUGGGCGUAAAGGGCGCGUAGGCGGACAUUUAAGUCAGGGGUGAAAUCCCGGGGCUCAACCUCGGAACUGCCUUUGAUACUGGGUGUCUUGAGUAUGAGAGAGGUGUGUGGAACUCCGAGUGUAGAGGUGAAACUCGUAGAUAUUCGGAAGAACACCAGUGGCGAAGGCGACACACUGGCUCAUUACUGACGCUGAGGCGCGAAAGCGUGGGGAGCAAACAGGAUUAGAUACCCUUGUAGUCC
rnacentral:rRNA from 1 species